UACGGAGGGGGCUAGCGUUGUUCGGAAUUACUGGGCGUAAAGCGCACGUAGGCGGCUUUGUAAGUUAGAGGUGAAAGCCCAGGGCUCAACCCUGGAAUUGCCUUUAAGACUGCAUCGCUUGAACAUCGGAGAGGUAAGUGGAAUUCCGAGUGUAGAGGUGAAAUUCGUAGAUAUUCGGAAGAACACCAGUGGCGAAGGCGGGUCUCUGGGCAGUAACUGACGCUGAGGAGCGAAAGCGUGGGGAGCGAACAGG
rnacentral:rRNA from 1 species